CCUACGGGAGGCAGCAGUGGGGAAUAUUGCACAAUGGGGGAAACCCGGAUGCAGCGACGCCGCGGGAGUGAAGAAGGAUUUCGGUAUGUAAAGCUCUAUCAGCAGGGAAGAAAAUGACGGUACCUGAGGAAGAAGCCCCGGCGAACGACGUGCCAGCAGCCGCGGUAAUACGUAGGGGGCAAGCGUUAGCCGGAUUUACUGGGUGUAAAGGGAGCGUAGACGGCAGCACAAGUCUGGAGUGAAAUGCCGGGGCUGAACCCCGGAACUGCUUUGGAAACUGUGCAGCUAGAGGGCAGGAGAGGUACGUGGCUUUCCUCGUGUAGCGGUGACAUGCGUAGUUCUUCGGAG
rnacentral:rRNA from 1 species